GACGAACGCUGGCGGCGUGCUUAACACAUGCAAGUCGAACGGAAAGGCCCUGCUUUUGUGGGGUGCUCGAGUGGCGAACGGGUGAGUAACACGUGAGUAACCUGCCCUUGACUUUGGGAUAACUUCAGGAAACUGGGGCUAAUACCGGAUAGGAGCUCCUGCUGCAUGGUGGGGGUUGGAAAGUUUCGGCGGUUGGGGAUGGACUCGCGGCUUAUCAGCUUGUUGGUGGGGUAGUGGCUUACCAAGGCUUUGACGGGUAGCCGGCCUGAGAGGGUGACCGGCCACAAUGGGACUGAGAUACGGCCCAGACGCCUACGGGAGGCAGCAGUGGGGAAUAUGGCACAAUGGGCGGAAGCCUGAUGCAGCAACGCCGCGUGCGGGAUGACGGCCUUCGGGUUGUAAACCGCUUUCGCCUGUGACGAAGCGUGAGUGACGGUAAUGGGUAAAGAAGCACCGGCUAACUACGUG
rnacentral:rRNA from 1 species